UUGGAGGGCAAGUCUGGUGCCAGCAGCCGCGGUAAUUCCAGCUCCAAUAGCGUAUAUUAAAGUUGUUGCAGUUAAAAAGCUCGUAGUUGAAUUUCGGGGUUAGUAGGCUGGUCAUGCCACCGGUAUGUACUGGUCUUUCUGAUCCCUCCUUCCUGAUGAACUGUAAUGCCAUUAAUUUGGUGUUGCAGGGAAUCUGGACUGUUACUUUGAAAAAAUUAGAGUGUUUAAAGCAGGCUAACGCUUGAAUACAUUAGCAUGGAAUAAUGAAAUAGGACGUUCGAUCCUAUUUUGUUGGUUUCUAGGAUUGACGUAAUGAUUAAUAGGGAUAGUUGGGGGCAUUAGUAUUCAAUUGUCAGAGGUGAAAUUCUUGGAUUUAUUGAAGACUAACUACUGCGAAAGCAUUUGCCAAGGAUGUUUUCAUUAAUCAAGAACGAAAGUUAGGGGAUCGAAGACGAUCAGAUACCGUCGUAGUCUUAACCAUAAACUAUGCCGACUAGGGAUCGGAUGAUGUUAAUUUUUUAAUGACUCAUUCGGCGCCUUACGGGAAAC
rnacentral:rRNA from 1 species